rnacentral:rRNA from 1 species
AGCAGCCGCGGUAAUUCCAGCUCCAAUAGCGUAUAUUAAAGUUGUUGCAGUUAAAAAGCUCGUAGUUGAAUUUCGGGGUUCUACCGUUGGUCGGGCUUUGUCUGUACUGAUGUGUAGAAUUUCUACCUUCUGGGGAGCCAUCAUGUUAUUAAUUUAGCGUGGUGGGAAACCAGGACCUUUACCUUGAAAAAUUAGAGUGUUCAAAGCAGGCUUAUGUCUGAAUACAUUAGCAUGGAAUAAUAGAAUAGGACGGUGGUCCUGUUUUGUUGGUUUCUGAAUCACCGUAAUGAUUAAUAGGGAUAGUUGGGGGCAUUAGUAUUCAAUUGUCAGAGGUGAAAUUCUUGGAUUUAUUGAAGACUAACUUCUGCGAAAGCAUUUGCCAAGGAUGUUUUCAUUAAUCAAGAACGAAAGUUAGGGGAUCGAAGACGAUCAGAUACCGUCGUAGUCUUAACCAUAAACUAUGCCGACUAGGGAUCGGACGAUGUUAAUUUUUCUUGUACUCGUUCGGCGCCUUACGGAA